CAUCGAUUGUAACUCAAUUUUUUUGGAGAUGUUCCUCCCAUUUCACUCAAACUUGUUGAUUUUGGGGGACUGAAAGACAAGUGCCCGAUCUACACUCCAACCAAAGCAAAAAGUGACCCCCCUUGUUUUUUUGAUGGAUCUUGUUACUCUUGCAGAUUGGAGACUCCUAGGUGGUAGGAGUCCUCGGUGAGAAAAUGAUUUGUCAUUUUUCCCAUCGUUUGUGAAGGUUUGGAGGCCGCCUCAAGGUAUACCAUCAGUGGUUUGCAAUCACCUUUUUGGUGAUAUUUCAACGAAAAGAAGGCCAGAAGUCGAUCCGAGGUCGACACGGCGUCUGUUCCCCUGCCAUGCCUGCACCCAGCAGGGACCCUCACCAGGCUCAACUUCGCCAGACCUCAAGGCAAAUCCUAUGGGGUAUCGCACAGCAAAACGUUGUAUUUGAGUUGGUAACAGAGGCAAGAUACCGCGGUCGCGGCAACGACAGAACCAACCUCAAGCCCAAUGUUUGAUCCCCAUUCGUUCAGACAUAGUGCCACAACCACUUUAAUCAUGUGUACCAGUUCAUGUCCAUAGUGUACAAACCAGUUGUGCGGCGUCGCCGGAACGCUCACGAUGAUCCUCGGGCUGGAGCACAUGAUUAAAGCUGUUGCGGCAUUGUAGCGUGUCAUGCCUGAAUUUGGAGCAAACUUGGCACUUGAGGUUGCUUCUGCCAUUGCCGCGUAUCCGCCCACCAUUAACACGACCAACAAUGUCGACGGUCAGGAUUUGAGCUACAUAAAAAUAAAAUGUGCCUUAUUUGAUGUUAGACCAGAUCACGGCAAAAUUCAGAAAAGAAAGGCAGAUAGGUUUGUAACUACUUUGUGGUGCAAUGUGUACAGGAUUCGGUAGAGGUUCAGUUGACACUUGAGAGUUCAAGGAUGGAGGCGACAUGCUUUGUUUUUGCUUCAAGAACCAUGAUGGAGCAGCCCAUUUCAAAACUUGGGAGUAGCAAGCUCAAACUUGGAGUUUCUGAACUUGACGUGUGGAACAUCAUUUUUGGACUUGCUUACCAUUUUCGAUGAUGAUCUCAACGUUGCAGGCCAGAAGUCGAUGGGAGGAAGACACGGCGCCGUCCGUUCCCCUGCCGUGCCUGCAUCCAGCGGGGCUCUCACCAGGCCUCCACUUCACUGGGCCACCGUAUCCUGCUGGGCAUAGGUUGCGUAGCCCGACCCUGGCGUACUGCACACUACCGGUUCUGUAGCUACUCUAUUAUGUCAGAACGCUUGAGAGGGAUGAACGUGAAACAGCAGCAGCAGCGAAGAUACCGCUGCUACUUCUCACUCGUACCCUGCUCCCUUCUCGUGAUGCUCGUCUUGCUCCUCACCGGAGCUAACCACGACCGACGACGACAAACAGGGCAGAUUAUGAUCUUUUCUGAACUAGCAACAAACAGCACAGCACAACACUCUGUCUAUAUAUCCCUCCCUGCCUCCAUGUCUGAACUUUUGUUUGAAACAGAGUUCCUGAACUUCCUAGUAAUUAACAAGUGCUAGGAGUAGCUCCGAUCCUUCUGUGUGAAUGUUUGAGAGGAAAAUCAACCUUGCGUCGCAGGAGAGAAGAGAGAAGCCUAUGGGUGACGCCACAGGUUGUGUGGGUGUGUAAGUUAAAUAACAAACAGAGAUUUGGGUUUGUGACACAGAGCAUAAGAAGAAUGGCGAAGCUUUCAGUAACCUCCAAAUUGCAGCAGAUCUUGCCUGUCCGCGAUUUGGUUCUUCUUCUUGA